GUGAAAAAGAAUACCAGUCACAUGUUGUGACAUGUGCCAAGCACCGAAGCAAGCUAAAAACAACACAUCCCACUGAGAGAAGGCUUCAUGUGAACAGACCUGUUGACUUGGAGUCAGAGCCAAUCACACGGCUUCCUCAUGACAUGAAAAAAACUGUCAAAUAUUACAAAAUCCAGAAUUUUCUAAGAAUUUGCAGCCUAUUGCAGUAUGUCAGGGAAUUAAUUCAUAUUAUCAGAUUUAGUAAAAUUUCAGUGGUCAAUCGCUACAUUGCAGUUUAGAAUAUUGUAAUACACAGACUUUGUGUCAAAGUAAAUAAAAAGAAUGAUUCUGUGUACUGGACUGUAGAAUUUAUGACUCUACCUAAUUUGUGAGAAACGUGUCCAUGACCUGAAUUGAAUGUUUCCAUUCUGUCUAUUUGAGUUUUUUUUUUUAUAUAUAUAUUAUAUCAGCUGGGGGUUUUUUAGACUCCAAAUUUGCAUUUUAAGCAUAACAUGUUGGUUUGGUGUGGUCUGAUUCAAAGUUAAAAUGUCAGCAAAAUGAUCUGUGCUGUUUUUUAAUACUUCCUCCUCAGUGCCUCCCUUUUGCUGGUACUCCAGUCCACAAAUAGGUUUUAUGUGCUGCCCAGAUAUGUUAGUUUUCUGUUAUGAUUGUUGAUGCAAACACCCAUACAGAUCAUUCAACUCAGGUGUGUCGACUGUUCCUGCAAACAUCCAUAAGGAACUGCUUUCACUCAGGAACUUUGUGAAUUCUUUCAUGGUACCUUGGUAGGUCACAAACUGUGCAAUUUGUCCUUUUUUGAAAUGCUUUUACAAAAUUUGAUAGUAAUCUGUUAUUAUGAUAUUAUGACAAAGUGGGUGUAACUCAGCUUCAAAGUCUUAGGCCACAUAAAAGCAGGGUCAAUAGAUGCUGAGACAAAGAGGACGCAAAGGCUGCCAGCUUUCUGCAGAGCCAAUUGCAACAGACAAGCAAGCUUCAUCUGCCGUUCUGGUUAGCAUACUACAUUAGCAACCCAAUGUACAAGUGUGGGUUUGCGAGUUGCCAUGAGGACAAAACAGUUGGAAAACUACUGUAAAACAAGACUGUUUCACAAUGUUGUUGAGAAAGAACCUGAUGAAGUUGCAUAGAAUCCAGAAGAAUGUCCACUAAUCUCAAUAAACACACUCCUAAACCUUGUGGAAAACCUUUAGUAGAUGGAUUAACAAUGGGAUCAUUGGCUGCAAU